UGAAUUAAAAGUUUGUUUCAA
rnacentral:piRNA from 1 species